rnacentral:rRNA from 1 species
UAGGGAAUCUUCGGCAAUGGGGGGAACCCUGACCGAGCAACGCCGCGUGAGUGAAGAAGGUUUUCGGAUCGUAAAGCUCUGUUGUUAAGGAAGAACGAGUGUGAGAAUGGAAAGUUCAUACUGUGACGGUACUUAACCAGAAAGGGACGGCUAACUACGUGCCAGCAGCCGCGGUAAUACGUAGGUCCCGAGCGUUGUCCGGAUUUAUUGGGCGUAAAGCGAGCGCAGGCGGUUAGAUAAGUCUGAAGUUAAAGGCAGUGGCUCAACCAUUGUAGGCUUUGGAAACUGUUUAACUUGAGUGCAGAAGGGGAGAGUGGAAUUCCAUGUGUAGCGGUGAAAUGAGUAGAUAUAUGGAGGAACACCGGUGGCGAAAGCGGCUCUCUGGUCUGUAACUGACGCUGAGGCUCGAAAGCGUGGGGAGCGAACAGG